AUCUCUCAUGGCGUCAAUGCCCCCUUCAUGGGGUAUUACCUUGUAGAGGCUGGAUACAUCUAAAGUAAUUAAAGUAAUCUGUUCAUCAGCUGGUUUUAAAUUUUUCAACUUCUCUAUUAAUUGCGCCAUAUCUCUUAUGCAUGUUGGAAUUGCAUUAACUGGUGAUUUGAACAAAAAGUCCAAGUACUUUGCAAUCAGCUCCAAAAUCCCAUCCACUGCCGAGACGAUAGGUUGUCCGGG